CGUCAGCGCGGUCGCUGCAAGUGCGAUUAUAAAGAGGCCUUAAGUGUUAGCUGGCAUGUUAUCAAGUACUGUACACAAGAUGCUAGUAUAUUCUUUCCGGUCGUUACACAACAAAGGUUUUUAUAUUUUUUUAAUUAGUGAAGGGGUCACUUUGAGUGUGUGUACUGACCAUAUGGCCAUCCCUUCCCUUGACAAAGUAAAUACUUACCAAGGAACAGAAGAAGCAACAGUCCAAGCUCAUCCUAACAUUUGUGGACGCAACAAAGCAAAGGCAAGACAAUAGAAUGUCAGACAUAAUGCUAAAAAUCUCAGCGUAGGUGCAGCUAACAAAGCAGCAGAUGUGAACCAACUGGGUGAGGAAGUAAAACAAAGGCCGUGUUGAGGAAGCAACAGAAAAAUGGUGAUGGCGGAAUUUAUGGUACUUAACAGAAUAAGGAUGUUGCUAACAAAGCUUGAUUCGAAGCAGUUGAGUCAAGAAGCAACCGAGUCAAUGAAAGACAAGAAAAAGCAAAGGCUACCCACUGGAGUGACGAAGCACCUCUCAGAGGACGCACUGAACGAGAGCUCUGUUACGCGCCCACCGAGUUCAUAACGCAGAGGAAGGACGCCCUCUUCUGGACAGCUGGGAUUGGUUCUAGCACUCCCGUGACCCUUGUGAGGAUAAGCGAAUCAGAAAAUGGACGACCUGAGCGACCUGAUCCCCCCAACCACCCAUCCCCGGCCUCCGUCGGUUUUCCGUGACAGCAGGCACCAAUCAAAAAUGGGAGAAAAAUGCCUGCAACUCCUCAGUUGACCACAGGACCAAAGCUGCUUUAAGUCUGGUGCACACGACGCCAGAUGGUCGAACACGAGUGGACCGGCCCAUCGUGUCAAGUUGCAGUUGCACACCGGCGCCUCAGUGAGUGCACAAGUGGACGCCCUGAACAGCGAGCCUGUUUAGGCUUUUGAUGCUGUGU